rnacentral:rRNA from 1 species
CCUACGGGUGGCAGCAGUGGGGAAUAUUGCUCAAUGGGCGCUACCCUGAACCAGCCACGUCGCGUGAAUGAUGAAUGCCCUAUGGGUUGUAAGCUUCUUUUGUAUGGAAGUAAAUUGCGGUAUGUGUACUACUUUGCAUGUCCCUUAUGAUUACAGCUCGGCUAACUCCGUGCCAGCAGCCGCGGUAAUCCGGAGUAUCCGGGCGUUAUCCGGAUUUAUUGGGUGUAAAGGGUGCGUAGGCGGGUGGUUAAGUCAGUUGUGAAAGGUUGCGGCUUAACCGUAAAAUUGCAGUUGAUACUGGGAGGCUUGAGUGCAGGAGAGGUAGGUGGAAUUCGUGGUGUAGCGGUGAAAUGCUUAGAUAUCACGAGGAACUCCGAUGGCGAAGGCAGCUUGCUGGACUGUAACUGACGCUGAUGCUCGAAAGUGUGGGGAGCAAACAGGAUUAGAUACCCGGGUAGUC